CCGCAUCUGUGCAUGCAGCAUAUCAAUAAGCGGAGGAAAAGAAACUAACAAGGAUUCCCCUAGUAACGGCGAGUGAAGCGGGAAGAGCUCAAAUUUGAAAUCUUAAGGGUUUCCCUUUACGAAUUGUAGUUUAAAGAAGUGUUUUCUGUUGAGGUUUUGGUAAAAGUUCUUUGGAAUAGGACAUCAUAGAGGGUGAGAAUCCCGUAUUUGACCUUUACUUUCAACUUUGUGAUACACUUUCAAAGAGUCGGAUUGUUUGGGAAUGCAGUCCAAAAUGGGUGGUAAAUUUCAUCUAAAGCUAAAUAUUGGCGAGAGACCGAUAGCGAACAAGUACCGUGAGGGAAAGAUGAAAAGAACUUUGAAAAGAGAGUUAAACAGUACGUGAAAUUGUCAAAAGGGAAGCGUUUGACACCAGUGUUGUUUUUCUGAAAAUCAAUUAAAGAACUGUUUAUGCUAAGCUGUUUAGACUUUAUCAGCUAACUGUUUAGUUUUGAGCUUUUCUUUAAUGCACUUUUCAGUUAACAAGUCAACAUCAAUUUCUUUUGCUGUAAAAAAGCUUGAGGAAGGUGGCUUGAGAUUCGUCUUAAGUGUUUAUAGCCUCUUGCCUAUGCAGUCGGAGAGAUUGAGGUCUGCAGCGUAGAUCCUUCGGGGCUAAAUGCAUUUGUGCUAAGUUAUAGCAUUUUAUAGACAACUUGUUGACUAUGAUUUGUCUUGUAGCUUACUCGCUUAUGUUAUUUUACCUACGCUUAGGAUGUUGAGUCAUCACACAUCUCU
rnacentral:rRNA from 1 species